GACGAACGCUGGCGGCGUGCUUAACACAUGCAAGUCGAACGGAAAGGCCCUGCUUUUGUGGGGUGCUCGAGUGGCGAACGGGUGAGUAACACGUGAGUAACCUGCCCUUGACUUUGGGAUAACUUCAGGAAACUGGGGCUAAUACCGGAUAGGAGCUCCUGCUGCAUGGUGGGGGUUGGAAAGUUUCGGCGGUUGGGGAUGGACUCGCGGCGUAUCAGCUUGUUGGUGGGGUAGUGGCUUACCAAGGCUUUGACGGGUAGCCGGCCUGAGAGGGUGACCGGCCACAUUGGGACUGAGAUACGGCCCAGACUCCGACGGGAGGCAGCAGUGGGGAAUAUUGCACAAUGGGCGGAGGCCUGAUGCAGCAACGCCGCGUGCGGGAUGACGGCGUUCGGGUUGUAAACCGCUUGCGCCUGUGACGAAGCGUGAGUGACGGGAAUGGGUAAAGAAGCACCGGCUAACUACGUG
rnacentral:rRNA from 1 species